UGAGUAACCUGCCCUUAACUCUGGGAUAAGCCUGGGAAACUGGGUCUAAUACCGGAUAUGACUCCUCAUCGCAUGGUGGGGGGUGGAAAGCUUUAUUGUGGUUUUGGAUGGACUCGCGGCCUAUCAGCUAGUUGGUGAGGUAACGGCUCACCAAGGCGACGACGGGUANCUGGUCUGAGAGGAUGGCCAGCCACAUUGGAACUGAGACACGGUCCAGACCUCCGACGGGAGNAG
rnacentral:rRNA from 1 species